UACGGAGGGUCCAAGCGUUAUCCGGAAUCAUUGGGUUUAAAGGGUCCGUAGGCGGUUUUGUAAGUCAGUGGUGAAAGCCCAUCGCUCAACGGUGGAACGGCCAUUGAUACUGCAAGACUUGAAUUAUUAGGAAGUAACUAGAAUAUGUAGUGUAGCGGUGAAAUGCUUAGAGAUUACAUGGAAUACCAAUUGCGAAGGCAGGUUACUACUAAUAUAUUGACGCUGAUGGACGAAAAGCGUGGGGGAGCGAACAGG
rnacentral:rRNA from 1 species